ACUACGAGCUGCUGCUUAUUUUUCUUGCUGCGGCAAAAGAAUGCUGUGCCAGAAAGUAGCAUCAGCAAUGAAACCGAAUUUCAUUCAAGACAUCUCUGAUGGGCUAUCAUUCUAUGACAUCUUCACUCAGCAAAACCAGCAUAAUUUUAAAGUGCCCAAGUUUGUAUCCUUCUUCAUGCAUGGUGACAAAACUCCUCUGAUCACCCUGAGAACUAGAAACAAGACAGUCACUCUUGGAAUGCGUCAGAGAUAGUUCACAAAUAAUUGGAACACAUUUAAGUUUGAGCAUCAACUACAAUUUGACGACGCUUUAGUAUUUAUCCCUAAAUCAAAGUCCUGCUAUACUGUCCUAAUCUUCAACAAACAUGGAGUCGAAAAACUAUUCCCUUGGUACAAUAAGUUCUACAUCUUCUCUGAUGCACCAACCGGUAGAACUUAGACCUUUCUUUUAAAUUUAUUCUGCAAGAAACGUUGUUCUUCUUAUAUGUU